rnacentral:rRNA from 1 species
CCUACGGGUGGCAGCAGUGAGGAAUAUUUGUCAAUGGACGCAAGUCUGAACCAGCCAUGCCGCGUGCAGGAAGACGGCUCUAUGAGUUGUAAACUGCUUUUGUACGAGGGUAAACGCAGAUACGCGUAUAUGUAUGAAAGUAUCAUACGAAUAAGGAUCGGCUAACUCCGUGCCAGCAGCCGCUGUAAUACGGAGGAUUCAAGCGUUAUCCGGGUUUAUUGGGUUGAAAGGGUGCGUAGGCGGUCGGAUAAGUCAGAGGUGAAAGCCCGAGGUUCAACUUCGGAAUUGCCUUUGAUACUGUUCGGCUAGAGAGUAGUAGCGGUAGGCGGAAUGUAUGGUGUAGCGGUGAAAUGCUUAGAGAUCAGACAGAACACCGAUUGCGAAGGCAGCUUACUAGGCUGCUUCUGACGUUGAGGCACGAAAGCGUGGGGAGCAAACAGGAUUAGAUACCCUAGUAGUC